CCUACGGGUGGCAGCAGUGAGGAAUAUUGGUCAAUGGGCGCGAGCCUGAACCAGCCAAGUCGCGUGAGGGAAGACGGUCCUAUGGAUUGUAAACCUCUUUUGUCGGGGAGCAAAAGACGCCACGCGUGGCGUUCCGAGAGUACCCGAAGAAAAAGCAUCGGCUAACUCCGUGCUAGCAGCCGCGGUAAUACGGAGGAUCCGAGCGUUAUCCGGAUUUAUUGGGUUUAAAGGGAGCGUAGGCGGGUUGUUAAGUCAGUUGUGAAAGUUUGCGGCUCAACCGUAAAAUUGCAGUUGAUACUGGCAUCCUUGAGUACAGUAGAGGUAGGCGGAAUUCGGGGUGUAGCGGUGAAAUGCUUAGAUAUCACGAAGAACUCCGAUUGCGAAGGCAGCCUGCUGAACUGUAACUGACGCUGAUGCUCGAAAGGGUGGGUAUCAAACAGGAUUAGAUACCCCAGUAGUC
rnacentral:rRNA from 1 species